AUGUACAUUCCUACAUCGUUAAUGCACUGGAUCCCAUCAAAACUCCAUAGUUAAGCGUGCUUGGGAUAGAGUAGUACUGGGAUGGGUGACCUCUCUGUAAGUCCUAGUGUUUUACAUG
rnacentral:rRNA from 1 species